CACCGCCUUGUUUGAUUUUUGCGUUCUCAUUAGGCGAAAAGAAAGGAAUAAAGAGUGGUAAGGUCAGAAGAAAGGCAAGGAAGGUGUGUGUGUGUGUGAGAGAGAGACACUGAACUGCUUAUAACUUAUUCUCUUUGCCUCAAUUGCCUUCUCUUAUGCACUGCGAUCUCUUCUCCAUAUAGUCGGAGAAUAUGGGGAACUACAUGAAUGUGAUCUCGUUGUGCUUGUUUGUGACAACCCUGUUGUUUUCUGCUGUGUCUUGUGCUCCCAAUCAUGGACUGCGUAGGAUUGGGCUCAAGAAGAUUAAAUUGGACCCUAACAACAGGCUUGCUGCUCGAAUUGGGUCCAAAGAUGAUUCUUUCCGGGCUUCUAUUAGAAAGUUUCAUCUUCAAAACAACUUUGGUGUCACUGAGGAAACCGAUAUUGUUGGCUUAAAGAAUUACUUGGAUGCUCAGUAUUAUGGUGAAAUAGCCAUUGGAACAUCUCCUCAGAAGUUCACUGUCAUUUUCGACACAGGCAGCUCUAAUUUGUGGGUGCCAUCAUCCAAAUGCACCUUUUCGCUUGCAUGCUACUUCCAUGCUAAGUACAGGUCUAGCAGAUCAAGUACUUACAGGAGAAAUGGAACUGCUGCUGCUAUUCAAUAUGGUACUGGAGCAAUUUCUGGUUUCUUUAGCUAUGACAAUGUUAGACUCGGUGACAUAGUUGUAAAGAACCAGGAAUUUAUCGAAGCAACUAGGGAGCCAGGUCUUGUAUUUUUGGCAGCCAAGUUUGAUGGUAUACUGGGACUUGGAUUUCAAGAGAUAUCUGUUGGAAAGGCUGUUCCAGUGUGGUACAACAUGAUUGAACAAGGUCUUAUUAAGGAACCAGUAUUUUCAUUUUGGUUAAACCGCAAACCAGAGGAAGAGGAAGGAGGUGAGAUUGUUUUUGGAGGUGUUGACCCUGCUCACUAUAAGGGAAAUCAUACUUAUGUGCCUGUGACCAGAAAAGGAUAUUGGCAGUUUGACAUGGGAGAUGUACUAAUUGGUGGUAAACCCACUGGAUAUUGUGCCGGUGGGUGUGCAGCCAUUGCAGACUCAGGGACUUCGCUGUUGGCUGGUCCAACGGCUGUAAUAACUAUGAUAAACCAUGCAAUUGGAGCAGCUGGAGUUAUGAGCCAAGAAUGCAAGACCGUUGUUGCAGAGUAUGGACAAACGAUAUUGAAUUUGCUUUUGGCUGAAGCACAGCCGAAGAAGAUCUGUUCUCAAAUUGGAUUGUGCACCUUUGAUGGGACUCGUGGUGUUGAUAUGGGCAUAGAGAGCGUUGUGGAUGAGAAUGCAAAAAAAUCAUCUGGUGGUCUUCAUGAUGCGGCUUGUUCUGCGUGUGAGAUGGCGGUUGUUUGGGUGCAGAACCAGCUCAGCCAAAAUCAGACACAGGAUCAGAUACUAAACUACGUUAAUCAGCUUUGCGAUAAAGUGCCAAGCCCGAUGGGAGAAUCUUCUGUUGGCUGCGGGGAUAUCUCUUCAUUACCUAUAGUGUCUUUUACUAUUGGUGGAAGAACUUUUGACCUUCGCCCAGAGGAGUACAUACUCAAAGUGGGUGAAGGCCCCGUGGCUCAGUGCAUUAGUGGCUUUACUGCAAUAGAUAUUGCACCUCCUCUUGGCCCUCUCUGGAUCCUUGGGGACGUCUUCAUGGGGCCUUAUCAUACAGUAUUUGAUUUUGGUAAUCAAAGAGUGGGAUUUGCUGAUGCAGCGUAAAGUGAUUAUCAGAAUAUGGCUAUCCUUGCUCUAUUUCUUGCCAUCAAAUGGACCUAAAGUCAUGGCUUGUACGUGUUUAUAUCGAUGUUAAAUACUUUGGGUGUUUCAUAAAAUGAGAAUGUUAUGUAGAUAAAACAAAAGGCGGACCGGUCAGCUUUAAAAUUACAUAUGCAAUCCAAUCCAAGUAUCUUUAGAACACUGGAACUUUAGUUU